CUAACAAGGAUUCCCCUAGUAACUGCGAGUGAAGCGGGAAAAGCUCAAAUUUAAAAUCUGGUGGCCUUUGGCCGUCCGAGUUGUAAUUUAGAGAAGCGUCUUCCGCGCUGGACCGUGCACAAGUCUCCUGGAAUGGAGCGUCAUAGAGGGUGAGAAUCCCGUCUUUGGCACGGAUGCCUGGUGCUUUUGUGAUGCGCUCUCGAAGAGUCGAGUUGUUUGGGAAUGCAGCUCAAAAUGGGUGGUGAACUCCAUCUAAAGCUAAAUAUUGGCGAGAGACCGAUAGCGAACAAGUACCGUGAGGGAAAGAUGAAAAGCACUUUGGAAAGAGAGUGAAACAGUACGUGAAAUUGUUGAAAGGGAAACGCUUGAAGUCAGUCGCGUCGACCGAGACUCANNNUUGCCUCGGCUUGGUGUACUUCUCGGCUCGACGGGUCAGCUCAAUUUUGUCCCUCGGAUAAUGGCAGGGGAAAGGUGGCACCUUUACGGGUGUGUUAUAGUCUCUUGUCGCAUGCGAGGGGUGGGAUUGAGGAACUCAGCACGCACCUUGGUGUCGGGGCUUUUGCCCACGUCACGUGCUUAGGAUGCUGGCGUAAUGGCUUUAAACGACCCGUCUUGAAACACGGACCAAGGAGUCCAACACGCCCGCGAGUGUUCGGGUGGAAAACCCGUGCGCGUAAUGAAAGUGAAAGUUGGGACCUCUGUCGUGGAGGGCACCGACGCCCGGACCAGACCUUCUGUGACGGAUCUGCGGUAGAGCGUGUGUGUUGGGACCCGAAAGAUGGUGAACUAUGCCUGAAUAGGGUGAAGCCAGAGGAAACUCUGGUGGAGGCUCGUAGCGAUUCUGACGUGCAAAUCGAUCGUCAAAUUUGGGUAUAGGGGCGAAAGACUAAUCUAACCAUCUAGUACCUGGUUCCUGCCGAAGUUUCCCUCANGAUAGCANAAACUCAUGUCUGAUUUAUGUGGUAAAGCGAAUGAUUACAGGCCUUGGGGAUGGAACAUCCUUAACCUAUUCUCAAACUUUAAAUAUGUAUGUACGAGCCGUCGCUUGA
rnacentral:rRNA from 1 species